UCAAAGAUUAAGCCAUGCAAGUGAAAGUAUAUGCAUAUUUUAUAUGUAGAAACUGCGAACGGCUCAUUAAAACAGUUAUAAUCUACUUGACAUUUUUUCUAUAAGGAUAACUACGGAAAAGCUGUAGCUAAUACUUGCUUUAGCACUCUUGAUUAAGUUCUUGAGUGUGUACUUGUUAAGCCUUUUAAGAAAAAAGUUAUUAACUUAAGGAAUUAUAACAAAGAAGCAACACGUAAAUGGAUUUUCCAUUUUUUAGUGUGUAUCAAUCGAGUUUCUGACCUAUCAGCUUUUGAUGUUAGGGUAUUGGCCUAACAUGGCUAUGACGGGUAACGGGGAAUUAGAGUUCGAUUCCGGAGAGGGAGCCUGAGAAAUAGCUACCACAUCUAAGGAAGGCAGCAAGCGCGUAAAUUACCCAAUUCUAAAGAAGAGAGGUAGUGACAAGAAAUAACAAUACAAGGCCAAUCUGGCUUUGUAAUUGGAAUGAUGGGAAUUUAAAACCUUCCCAAAACUCAAUUGGAGGGCAAGUCUGGUGCCAGCAGCCGCGGUAAUUCCAGCUCCAAUAGCGUAUAUUAAAAUUGUUGCAGUUAAAACGCUCGUAGUUGAAUUUCAAAGAAUCGAUAUUUUAAGUAGCACUUUGUAGAUUAAUCCACAUAACUGAUACUACGUAUCGACUUUGUGAGCAUUUUUCUACUUAUGUGUUCUUUUAAUUAAAAUGAUUCUUUUUAAGAUCUUUCUUUUUUGCUUCGGCAUUUUAGGAGAUCUUGUUACUUUGAGUAAAUUAGAGUGUUCAAAGCAAACAGAUUAUAGCAUCUUUAUGCGUUUGAAUACUAUAGCAUGGAAUAACAAAAUUGAACAAGUCAGAAUUUUGUUCUUUUUUCUUAUUUUGGCUUAGUUACGAUUAAUAGGAGUAGCUUGGGGGCAUUUGUAUUCAGAUGUCAGAGGUGAAAUUCUUAGAUUUUCUGGAGACAAACAACUGCGAAAGCAUUUGCCUAAAAUACUUCCAUUAAUCAAGAACGAAAGUUAAGGGAGUGAAGACGAUCAGAUACCGUCGUAAUCUUAACCAUAAACUAUGCCGACUAGGCUUUGGAUGAAAGAUUUUAAAAUAAGAGUUUUUUCUCUGAGGAGUUAAAACUCUUAGAUUGCUUCCUUCAGUGCCUUAUGAGAAAUCAAAGUCUUUGGGUUCUGGGGCGAGUAUUCGCGCAAGCGAGAAAGUUAAAAGAAUUGACGGAAGGGCACCACCAGGCGUGGAGCUUGCGGCUUAAUUUGACUCAACACGGGAAAACUCACUAGUUUAAGACAAGAGUAGGAUUGACAGAUUAAUAGCUCUUUCUUGAUUUCUUGGAUGGUGAUGCAUGGCCGUUUUUAGUUCGUGAAUAUGAUUUGUCUGGUUAAUUCCGAUAACGAACGAGAUCUUAACCUGCUAAUUAGCGGCAAAUACGAUAUAUUCUUAUGUGGAAUUGAAUAUAGUUGAUUUGUUUAUUUUGAAGAAAAUAUUGGGAUACGUAAAUGUAUCCCUUUCCCUUUUCUACUUAAUUUGCUUAUCAUACUAUUUCUUUUUUGCGUAAGAAUGUAUUUGCUUGAUUGUAAAGCUUCUUAGAGGAACGAUGUGUGUCUAACACAAGGGAGUUUAAGGCAACAACAGG
rnacentral:rRNA from 1 species